AUUGAACGCUGGCGGCAGGCCUAACACAUGCAAGUCGAACGAGUGGCGGACGGGUGAGUAAUGUCUGGGAAACUGCCUGAUGGAGGGGGAUAACUACUGGAAACGGUAGCUAAUACCGCAUACCAUCAGAUGUGCCCAGAUGGGAUUAGCUUGUUGGUGGGGUAACGGCUCACCAAGGCGACGAUCCCUAGCUGGUCUGAGAGGAUGACCAGCCAAACUGGGACUGAGACAAGGUCCCGAAUCCUACGGGAGGGAAGAGGGGGGAAAUUUGGACAAUGGGCGGAAGCCUGAAGCAGCCAUGACGCGUGGAAGAAGAAGGCCUUCGGGGUGUAAAGUUCUUUCAGCGGGGAAGCGUUACCCGCAGAAGGAGCACCCGCUAACUCCGGUCCAGCCGCCGCGGUAAUUC
rnacentral:rRNA from 1 species